CUUUACCAUCUACUCUGCCAUUAUAUUAUCUAGCUUACUGAAUGUCACCAUCUGACUUGCCACUGCAACCUCUAGAUUCCCAAGAAAUGUCACUUGGCAUGCUGACAAACACUAAGGACUUUGGGGCUUUACUAUCAGUCCUCUUGCUCAACCUUCAGGAUUACUAGGCUUUUCUAUCAGUCAUACUCCUCCCAUAUGAAUUGUCUUCCCCCCCAAUUAAAAUAUGAGAGCAAGAACUAUCUCACUUUUCUAUUUGAAUCCCCAGCACUUAGCACGGUGUUUUGUACAUAGUAAGCUCUUAAUAAAUGCAUUUUCAUUCAUUUACUCAUUCACUUACAAAUGAGGAAACCUGCUCAGAAGCAUUGGCAUUCAUGAUUAAAGACUAUAGGCAAGGCUUUCAAUUCAGUCUGCUAAGAGAAAAAAAAAGCAUCAACGAAUGAAUGAAUGAUCAAGUUUUUAUUAAGCAUUUACUAUAUACAAAUCACUGUAUUGAACACCGAAGAAGCAAGUAGAAACGAAAAACUGUACUUGACUCUCAAGGAACUUACAUUCAAAUCAUGGAAAUCCAUAUAUAUGAGGAGUUUCCAUUUUAAAUAGCAUGGAAACUCCCAGCAGUCCUUGAGGUAAAACAGCAAAACAAAUCAUAAUAUAUCUUAAAAAACAAACAAACAAACAAACAAACAAACCAAAAAACCUUACCUUCCAUCUUAUUGAUUCCAAGGCAGAAAAGUGGUAAUGGCUAGGCAAAGGAGGUUAAGUGACUUGCCCUGGGUCACACAGCUGGAAAGUAGCUGAGGUCAGAUUGGAACAGAGGACCUCCUGACUCUGAGAAGGCUUGGCUCUCAAUUCACUGCACCACCUAGCUGCUGCCAUAAUAUCUUUAAAAUGUUAUUUCAAUUAACAAAACCAUAUCCAUUCCUGCUUUUGAACUAUUUGACAGUGCCAAGAACCUUGGUAUAAGAACCGUUUUUUCCAGGUCUUCAGAAGCUGUGGCUGCUAAAGAAGCAAUACCAGAAAGAACCGCUAUAGAAGACAUCACCAGUUCAUAUCUCCCCAAGGGUGAUGUCAUAGCCAAGUUUUGAAUCUCCCUAAUACCGCCAUACACAUUGGCCUCAUUUACACUAUGGGUCUAUAGAGUUACAGAAUGACAGAAAUGGAAAAGACUUCAAAGGUCACCCAGACCAUCGCCUUCACUAUUAGGAAAUUGUGAGCAAGAGAAGUUUGCCUCAGUUUCCUCAUCUGUCAAAUGAGCUGGAGAAGGAAAUGGCAAGCCACUCCAGUAUCUUUGCCUAGAAAACCCCAAAUGGGAUCCCGAAGAGUCAGAGACAACUGAAAAUGACUCAACAACAACAAACAAGGUGACUUACUUAUUGUUUUAUUAGAUGAUAAACUGUUUUACCCUUUUGAGGAGAAAUGUACUGAGGUGAAUUCCCUUUUCUUAGGCUGGGAGAUGCUUACAAUGGAGUCUGUCAGGCUACAGGUGAAUUGAUUCUACUUUAAUCUUGGUUCAGCCCAAUUUAUGCUAUGGAAUCCAAUGGAAUACUAAUGGAGGUAGGAUGUUUGAGGGUAGUUCAGGGAGGAAAUUUUUUUAUUAUGCCUCUUGUUUUGCAAAUUAGCUUCAGAGAUAGGAAGACCAGGGUUCAUGUCCUAUUUCUGACACACACAGUCUAUGUGACUCUGGGCUAGUCAUUUAACCUUAGUGACUUAGGCAAUUUUCUCAGACUAUUAGGUGCAGAGAACAAGCCUUAGAUUUGUGAAAUCAGAGCUCCAGUUCUAUCCCUCUCCCUCUUUUCUGUAGGGGUAGGGAGAAGGGAAUUCUGGGAGUACCCGGUUUAAGAACUAAAAGGAGGAUUAAAUUUUGAGGCAAGAAUGAUUUGGAAAUAUCUGAAGAAAUGGAAACCCAUGAGAGAUUCCCUCCCUAUUAGAACCUGUAGUACCUCAGAGCUCAUCUAGGCCAUGCCAUGUAUAAAGAAGUUGGUCCUUGAAAGUCUAGGACUAAAUCACAGAAAAGCAGUUUGUAAUGACGAGUUGAACUAAAUAUUACCUAAAUGUAACCAAUGCUGGGUGGCUUCUUUAUAAGGUUCAAACAAAUCCCUUGAGUAUGUUAAGAAGGAGCAAUAUCAUUGGGAGAACAAUGACUGGGCCCCCCACAGUGACCCUUAAAAGACACAAAUUGAGUCAGUUUGAGAUAGUUGAGUCAAGAAUCAGAAGUUGUGGAAGAAUCCAACUCUACUUCCUGAGGAUGGGGAUAGGAGGGAAUUUUCUGUCUUCUAUCCCCUAUCCCCCGUACCAAUUGACAAAGCUGAGCUCAUUGCAUCAGAGACAUCCUAUCCAGCAUUUUGAAAGUCAGGAAAAGAGAGUAUGAGGCAUAGUUGGGGAGGUUGAGCUAUCUACUCCAGGUAGACACAAAUAUAUAAAGACAGUUACUUAAGAAAAGAAAAAACUUAGGGGGCAGCUGGGUAGCUGAGUGGAUUGAGAGCCAGGCCUAGAGAUGGGAAAUCCUGGGUUGCAUAUGUACCCUGUUGGGUUCUGAGACUACAAAAAUGAUGGUCUACACGGUCCCUGACAUCAAGAAGUUUAUUGUUUAUAUACAAACUGUGUAAAGGAAACUAGACUAACAGUUUGUGUGGGGGAAGGGCCAACUGGGAGUGGCUGUUGGGUCUUGUGACUAGCACUUCCUUCCUGCCGGGGGAGGACUUGCGUCCUGGUGUUGGAGGAGAGAGGAGCUUGUUCAGCCCAGUCUGGAGUGGCAUGCUCUUCUUGGUUCAGCCCAAAGACACAGGCUUCUAAAGGAAGUGGCAAUAAUCCACUGUAGAUCACACACAGGGGCUAAUGAUCAUGUGUCUUUAGGAAACCAUAGAGCUGACAUUACAGCAAAAUUUGGAGCUAGAGAAGGACCUUUUCAUGUAUUGAAUUUCUCAAUAGUUGAACAGGACAAUCUAACUGAUGCCUAUAAUGAAAUGAGCAGGAAAUUCAAUCAUGGAUAAAGAACUUAGGAGCAAAACAAAUAAGAGGAAUAUGGUUUUCACAACUAGGCAAGCCCAUCCUGCCUAAAAAUUUAUUUUAUCACCUGUGCAAUGCAAUACAUGCACAAGGAUACUGUGGAACCCAAGCUGUGAUCGAUUCAGUGAGACGAUCUUGGACUGCACCAGGAAUAUCCUCAUAUGCCAUAAGAAUUUUGUCAAAAAUGUAAAAUUUGUAUGCAAUUCAAUCAGGGAGUUUAUAAGACCAAAGGCGUAGGAGGUCAUCCCUUAGCAUAUACUCCAUUUGAAUGCAUAUAGAUAGAUUUUAUCAAUAUGCCAAAAGACAAAGGGUUUAAGUAUUGCCUUGUCAUCAUAGACAGACUGAUUAGAUGGCCAGAAGUUUUUCCUUCCAAAAAGAACAAUGCAGCAUUUGUGGUCAAAAUCCUAUUAAAAGAAAUCAUACCUAGAUUUGGGAUUCCCUCAAAAUUGGACUCAGACUGUGGAAGUCACUUUACUCAGUCAAUAUUAAAUGAAAUUUAUAAAAAUCUAGGAAUACAAGCAACAUACCACACACCAUAUCAUCCCCAAAGUUCAGGGCAAGUGGAAAGAUUAAAUAAAGACAUUAAAACAUUGAUAGGAAAAUUUUGUGCAGAAACACACCAAAAAUGGACAAACAUUCUGCCAUUAGUUCUGUUCCAUCUUAGAACACGACCCAGUGGAGAUUUGCACAUCUCUCCAUUUGAGAUGCUAUAUGGACAUGCAAUUUGGCAAGGAAGGACUUGUAAACCAGCUUACAUUGCCAUGAUAGGUGGAGAUUGUCAAUUAACAAAAUAUAUACAAGCUUUACAGACAAGAAUGGCAGAAUUGCAUGAAAUGGGCUUGAUACAACAAACAGUACCCCUGGAUUACAAUUUGCACAACAUCAAAGCAGGAGACAUAGUAUACUUAAAAAAUUUCAAUAGAAAAUUGGCUACAGACAUAAAAUGGACUGGACCACAUGAAGUAUUGCUUACUACCCCAACAUCUAUAAAAGUUGCAGGGAAAGACUCAUGGUUUCACUGUUCCCACAUGAAACCAGAAAAAGUUCAACACCAUUGUAACAGACAUCGAAGAUAAUUAGACAACAGAAGUGCUGAGAAAUGAAAACAAAAACUGAUUAACAUAAAAGCACAUCAUAAAGAAAUAAUAGUGACACAUAAUGUUUGAGACAACUUUCCAGCCCAGAGGAAAAGCAGCCCAGAGGAAAAGCAACCCAGAGGAAAAGCAUCCCAGAGGAAAAGCAACCCAGAGGAAAAGCAACCCAGAGGAAAAGCAUCCCAGAGGAAAAAAAUUAAACCACCCUGAGGAAAAGCAUCAAGAAAAGAUGCUAGAGACAAGAAACAAAGAGGAAAAGCUGAAAUGGACAGCUAAGACUUUGAACUUGUAAAUUUGUUUAUAUUAGAGGACAGAUGGAAAACGAGACUUAUAUGUAAGACUGAGUGUGUUGAAAUAAUAAAACAAAAGUAAUUUCACAUUUAGGGAAAUAGCAUGCAUCACUACAUAACAUGGAAGAAAGAAGAGAUCCAUCAGUCAACAUGAGAAGUGGAAAUCUGAAGAAACUUGAUAAGUAUUAUUUCAACACAACACUAUUAGACACAAAACACAAAAUCACUAACAUAUUGAGAGACCUUGUUUAUAUAAACAAGUGUCUGAAAUUGUAUUUAUGCAAACUGUAAAUAUGUAUAUAGUUAGUUCCAUAAGGUCUUAGGCAAAUAGAAAGAUGAAUAGAUAUUUCUAUUUGACUGACAUCAUGAUGUGGAACAAUGUGUAUUGUUGUAUGAUAUGUAAAUAAUUUCUAUAAAUAGUAUAUUAGUUUUAGUUAACGUAGAGUAAGUAGUAUUAGCACUAAGAUUCAAAUUCCUUGUAAUAGUUUUGUUCAACAUUUAUUGUACUGAAUUUAUUGUAAAACCCCCAAACUACCCUUGCCUGAAUUUUCCUGCUAAGAAUUCCUUAGAGUAGAUUUAGUAAUUUGGUAACUAUAAUAUAAAUAUGUGACCUCAGGAAGGUCACAACAAAAAAAGGGGACGAUUGUGGAAAGGAAACUAGACUAACAGUUUGUGUGGGGGAAGGGCCAACUGGGAGUGGCUGUUGGGUCUUGUGACUAGCACUUCCUUCCUGCCGGGGGAGGACUUGCGUCCUGGUGUUGGAGGAGAGAGGAGCUUGUUCAGCCCAGUCUGGAGUGGCAUGCUCUUCUUGGUUCAGCCCAAAGACACAGGCUUCUAAAGGUUAGAAUUGUUCUUGUUUGCUUUCUGUCUACUGCUAAGAUUCUGAAUUAGAACAAUGAGAGUAGAAUGAGUGGGACAAACCCUCCGCCAGCCUCUAGGGCCUGGCCCUAUACUCUGAAGCUAAGGAAAAACUCCAAUUCUAACUGGAUUAUUAAACUUUAUAUUAUUUGAAUUCACAGUCAGAUAAGUGGACUAUCUUUUCUGGUCAUAGAGGGAGCUGAACUUCAGUUUCAGUCAUUCAAAGACAAACCGUCCUUAUUGGACCUCUGCUGUUUCCUCUCAGCAGGGGGCAUCUCCCUCCCUUGCAUCACCAAGCAGUAUUCCCUCUCUCCCCUCAACUACUCCAUACCCUGAUACAAACCUCCCAUUAUCCCCCUGUUUUCCAAUCUUCCUAUUUCCUUUCCCAAUAAAUAUUACAAAAACGCACCUGGAGCACAUCCAUUUGCUUGAUUCCCCUCCCUGCCACCACCAAGGAAAAGCUAUUCCAGGGUCAGGUUCCCUGAUUUAAGCCCUAGCUCACAAACCCCCAUUACUGGGUUUAGUUUUAUUUGCCAAGAAGAUGACAUAUGAGUCCAAAGAGAAAGAUAUUUCAUCAGUAAGCAAAGUAAAUAGAAUGAUGAGAAAAGUGGACACAAAAGAUACAGUCCUCUAUAAGUUACCUCAAUACUAAUAUGGAAGCAAAUUUGACAGCAGAGGGAACAUAUAUGGAGGGUAUAAAUGUCUCGAUAUAUUACAGAUAGAGAUAUAUAGGCAAGAAAUGCAUAUGGCUAGGGAAUAUUAGUGAAGAACACAAGCCAGAAAUGCAUGUGACUAGGACAUAUUAAUCAAGGGCAUACACAUUGGGGAUAUGUGUGGCCAGGGUAACUCACUCCUCUAAUGUCACAGGACUUCUGAUGUCUUCUAGUGUCACCAUGAUGCUUUCCACUGGAUGUUAGAUAUCUACUUUCAUUCUCAUUCUCUCCCUGGCUCUGUUCUAGACUUUCUGGAUUUUCGAAUCAUACCCUGGCCCCAAUAUCUUCAACCCUCCCAAUCACUGUUUCAGCUUCUUCUUGUGCAUUGUCUUCUCCUUGAGGGCAGGAAUGGUUUUUAUUUUUGCUUGUAUUGGUAUCCCCAACACUUAACACAAAGUACUUAA